UACGGGGGGGAGCAAGCGUUGUUCGGAUUUACUGGGCGUAAAGGGCGCGUAGGCGGCCACCGCAAGUCAAUUGUGAAACUCUCCGGGCUUAACUCGGAAAGGUCAACUGAUACUGCGGGGCUAGAGUGCGGAAGGGGCAACUGGAAUUCUCGGUGUAGCGGUGAAAUGCGUAGAUAUCGAGAGGAACACCUGCGGCGAAGGCGGGUUGCUGGGCCGACACUGACGCUGAGGC
rnacentral:rRNA from 1 species